GAGGGGCAGUUAGGUCCGCUGUGUAAUCAGGCAGACGUGUCCGCGGCCUCCAAGCGCAGGAGAGGGAAGCGCCGGAGCCCGGCGCCGCAGAGCGCCUCGCGCGAAUGGGACCUGCGCACCUGUUCCGAGAGCCGCCGACACCGUGCCAGCUCAAGGCAGGUUUCUUCUCCCUCACGGCCUUUCCCAGACCCAGGCAGCACCACAAAUACCCACCAGCUACUCCUCUCACAUCACUGCAGUGCUGCCCUGACCGAGCAGAGUCAUGCUGCGCGACUGGUGGCAUAUGGCUCAGAGUUCGCAUUUGCGUCCUCUGAGCCACGUGAGCAGCGACUGACUGGAGAAAAGACAUUGUGCAGAAGAGGAGGAGGACGAGGAGACGUUCUGGCAGGAAUCCAGCCGGUUGGAGGCAAGCCUGAGCCAUCUUUUAUGGCAGCCUUCCAUGCCACAUUACAGACAAUCAGCGACGGGCUUCUGACUGUCUUGGGAAAUGAGACGCAAAACAAUAGCGUGCGACCAGACAGUGGCUGCGCGGUGACCCCGCCGAGACCCUGGGCACCUCAUUAUGGAGGGGCGCUCCACUGCCACCCAUCAGAGAUGGAGCCCUCUGCCCAGCUCUGGGUCAGCCGGUACCAGGGGCCAGCACUGACCUCUGGUUGAACUCUGACCCCGCAUUCCUACGAGGAGUUCAGUGGGUUUCCAAGUGCCCACCUGGAGAGGAGCUGCUCCCGCCCCAGACCUCACGCAUUCAUCACUUCCCCAGGAGGCUGCAGGACUGCCAUCCCGUCACACGUCACAGCGUUGUACUCAUGCUGGACAGAGUCUCGGCCAUGCUGAGUAAGCAGAGCACCAGACUCUGCCAGGGCCCAGCGGUCACAUCUCAUCCCCAGAAGGAGGACAAGUUACUCUGACCGAGAAGCACCAGGAGCCAGAUCCCGGAGCCCAGCGAAGGUGGGCCGCCCCCUUGUGAGAAGAGCACAGCUGUUACUGUAAGAGGGCCGUCCAGAGAGCGGAUCCCUCUCCUCCGCCUCUCCAAAGGAUGAAAUGAGCGAGCCGGGCACUGUGCAGUCAGCCUUUGCAUCUGCAAUUUCAGACCUCUUUAUAUCAUUUUUCAUGCUUGCCAGAAAUGAAUAAUGCACGCAUUAAUGGCUGCC
rnacentral:lncRNA from 1 species